rnacentral:tRNA from 6 species
GCGGAUGUGGCGAAAUUGGUAGACGCACUAGACUUAGGAUCUAGCGCCGCGAGGCAUGGGGGUUCGAGUCCCUCCAUCCGCAC